rnacentral:rRNA from 1 species
GAUGAACGCUAGCGGGAGGCUUAACACAUGCAAGUCGAGGGGCAGCACGGGAGUAGCAAUACAACUGGUGGCGACCGGCGCACGGGUGAGUAACACGUAUGCAACCUACCUGUAAGCGGGGCAUAACCCGGAGAAAUCCGGCCUAACACCGCAUAAUACCCUUUCACCGCAUGGUUUAAGGGUUAAAUAUUUAUAGCUUACAGAUGGGCAUGCGUAUGAUUAGAUAGUUGGUGAGGUCACGGCUCACCAAGUCAACGAUCAUUAGGGGUUCUGAGAGGAAGGUCCCCCACACUGGUACUGAGACACGGACCAGACUCCUACGGGAGGCAG